rnacentral:tRNA from 1 species
CGCGGGGUGGAGCAGCUUGGUAGCUCGUCGGGCUCAUAACCCGAAGGUCGUCGGUUCAAAUCCUACCGCAACCA